rnacentral:rRNA from 1 species
UACGGGGUGGGCGAGCGUUGCCCGGAAUUACUGGGUUUAAAGGGGGUGUAGGCGGUCCGGAGAGUCAGGUGUGUAAUCCAACCGCUCAACGGUUGGGCUGCACCUGAUACUUCCGGGCUAGAGGGCGGUAGAGGAGAGCGGAACUCCCGGUGUAGCGGUGAAAUGCGUAGAUAUCGGGAGGAACGCCGGUGGCGAAGGCGGCUCUCUGGGCCGUUCCUGACGCUGAGGCCCGAAAGCUGGGGGAGCGAACCGG